AUAGUCGGGGACGGGUGGUUAAGGCGAUGGAUAAGCAAUCCAUUGGGAUCUUCCCGCGCUGGUUCGAAUCCCAGUGACUACG